GUCAAGCCUGUGGCAUGUGGCGUGUUUCGCGUCCAAGCCUUGGGGUGUCGCCACCAUUGAAACAAUGACGGUGCACCGCCGGCGGCGCUAAAUGUAGCGGCAG
rnacentral:lncRNA from 1 species